UGGGGAAUCUUGCACAAUGGAGGCAACUCUGAUGCAGCGACGCCGCGUGAGCGAUGAAGCCCUUCGGGGUGUAAAGCUCUUUCGGCAGGGACGAUAAUGACGGUACCUGAAGAAGAAGCUGCGGCUAACUACGUGCCAGCAGCCGCGGUAAUACGUAGGCAGCGAGCGUUGUUCGGAAUUACUGGGCGUAAAGAGUGUGUAGGCGGUGCUCUAAGUUCGGUGUGAAAUCUCCUGGCUCAACUGGGAGGGUGCGCCGGAAACUGGAGUGCUCGAGCGUGGGAGAGGAAAGCGGAAUUCCUGGUGUAGCGGUGAAAUGCGUAGAUAUCAGGAGGAACACCUGUGGUGUAGACGGCUUUCUGGACCAUUGCUGACGCUGAGACACGAAAGCGUGGGUAGCAAACA
rnacentral:rRNA from 1 species